UAGGGUCUGAUCCUGCACCGCUGAAGUCAAUGGAAGCUUUGUCAUUGACUUCAAUAGGAGCAGGAUUUGAACCUUA
ensembl:miRNA